UAUGACAGAGUACAUUUGAUGCAUGGCAGAGUACAUUUGAUGCAUGGCAGAGUACAUUUGAUGCAUGAUAGAGUACAUUUGAUGUAUGACAGAGUACAUUUGAUGUAUGACAGAGUACAUUUGAUGUAUGACAGAGUACAUUUGAUGUAUGACAGAGUACAUUUGAUGUAUGACAGAGUACAUUUGAUGUAUGACAGAGUACAUGUGAUGUAUAAUAAUGUAUUUUCUUUAAAUUUGGGAUACGUUUGAUCUGUGUUUCAAACUCGCUUCACAAUUUGGAAAAAUAUUUUUGUUUCUGGAGAUGCUUCUCUUUAAGAGAGAUGCACAGUGUCACAUUCACACCUAUUGAAAAGACGUGUUUGUAAGCAGCUCUAUCUAGCAUUUCCAGCAGCCUGUCUUUCUGUUUGAUGGUUUCUUCCAAAUACGUUGGCACCUUCAAAGAGAUUGUUCAAAUCCUUAGAUGUGAAUAUGAAAAACUUCUAGUGCUUUGAUAUCAGAGAGAUAAGUUAGAAUGUUCCUACUACUCAUUAGUUCGUCAUCAAGAAAACUGGGAACAUGUUGAUGGGGAACUUUGAUAAUAGUUCAACUGGAACUUGUAAUGUCGUCACGUGCUGUGUUUCAAUACCCGCUGCCCUCUGUUUAGUAUUACGAUAAUCUGCAAAGUAAAACAGUAAUACAUUCUGAUGAUCAAUGAUCAUUUUGUCUCUGCUACAGAUUUAGAGUCUCUACUAAAGAUAGAACGUCUCUAAUACUGAUAAAAAGUCUCUACUACAGAUAGAAAGUCUCUACUACUGAUAACAAGUCUCUACUACAGAUAGAAAGUCUCUACUACAGAUAGAAAGUCUCUACUACUGAUAGAAAGUCUCUACUACAGAUUUAGAGUCUCUACUACGGAUUGAAAAUCUCUACUACUGAUAGAAAGUCUCUACUACUGAUAGAAAGAAUCUACUACAGAUUGAAAAUCUCUUCAACAGAUUUUUCUGGAGUAUCUACAUUGAAGGAUAGUCACUUAUGAAAAUUCGUGUUAACUUUAUGCCAUUAUUGAAACGUUUUAUCCAAGCAGCGAGAGUCUAUUUAUAGUGACACUUCUCCAACCUGGAUGAACUGGCGAAUCCAUUGACCUACUUACCUAUUUAUGCCAUAGUGUAUUGUGUGUAUUUAUCCCUAAUCAUCAUAUUUAAUGCUAUAUCUAGAAAACAAAUUAAUCCAAAAUGAAUUAUUUUUCGACAUACACACAUUCAUCAUGAUAUUAAAUAUCUGAUCAAAUACAUUCUGAAAUGCACUCUAAAAAGUCUGUAAUUGAAACAAACCAAAAAAAAAUGUAA
rnacentral:sRNA from 13 species